CUGUAUAGACGUAGAAAAUUUGAUCCCAAAUUCUCCGGCGACGGAGCUCUUUCCCUUUCUGUAUAAAUCCACUAACUGAAAGAGCUCCUUUUUCCUUUUUUAGUGUAUAAUAAAGCUAAGGGUUUUAGGUUUCACCGCAGAGCCAUGUCUGCUAUCAACCGAUCUUCCAGCACUCCGUUGAAGAACGGCGGCCUCCCUCCUCAAGAGCUUCUUGACGAUCUCUGCAGUCGGUUUGUUUUGAAUGUACCAAAAGAAGAUCAACAGUCAUUUGAGAGAAUUUUAUUCCUCGUCGAGUAUGCGCAUUGGUUCUAUGAAGACAAUUCAGUGGAAAAGAAUCCCUCACUGAAGUCAUUCAAUCUAAAGGAAUUCACAUCCUUAUUGUUUAACAGUUGUGACGUUUUGAGACCUUAUGUUGCUCACAUCGAUGACAUAUUUAAAGACUUCACUUCAUACAAGGUUCGAGUUCCUGUAACUGGAGCAAUCAUUUUGGAUGAAACCUUUGAAAGGUGCCUGCUAGUGAAGGGUUGGAAAGGGACGAGCUGGAGUUUUCCACGGGGCAAAAAGAACAAAGAUGAGGAAGACCAUGCAUGUGCCAUCAGAGAAGUUUUGGAGGAAACAGGUUUUGACGUUUCAAACCUUCUCAACAAAGAGGAAUGCAUUGAAGAGAUGUUUGGACAGCAGAGGGUGAAGCUUUACAUUAUUGCUGGCGUGAAGGAUGACACUGCCUUUGCACCACUUACGAAAAAGGAGAUCAGUGAAAUUGCAUGGCAACGACUUGAUGAACUGCAGCCAGCAAGUGAUGCUGUAAUAUCUCGUGGGAUCACUGGCCUCAAGCUUUACAUGGUUGCCCCAUUUUUAGAGUCCUUGAAAUUGUGGAUUUCAAAGCAUCAGCCCCCUGUAGCUCCAAGACCUGAUAUGCCUAUCAAAGGCAUGUGUGUGUGGAAAGCCAAGAACACUUCCAUAGGGAGUGGCACUAGCACAACAAUAGUUGAUACCCAAUCAACUAAGCCUGGAACUGAUGCUCAUCCUCCUGAUGCUGGCCCUGGCAAAAGCUUUAGAAAUUUUAGAUUUGACACUGCUGGAAUCUUGCGAGCAAUGGAAGCUGGGUUUUCUUCCUGACGAUUGGCAAUGGUAACUCUUUGUAGAUGCUCCAUGGUUACAUAGAUGGGUUAGUGUUUCUUAUGUAUCACCAAGCAGCGGUAAUCAACUUCAUGUCAACUAGCUGUGCUUGAUGUAUAUGAAUUGUGUCGGUAUUUGGCGGUUGGGUUUAGUGUAUAUCCUGUACAGAAGCCCUUUUUGUGUCAGAGUGUUUUUGUCAAAUUUUCUUAGUACAUUGCACUGAACUGCAGAUCCUUUUGCCACAAAAGCCAAGUGACUUGCUAUUGGCUGUUGUCCUUGUCUCUGGGUUUAGAUUCUCAAUCAUGUGUAAGAGUACUAUGUCAUCAGUAAACCUAUUGUUGUGUUGCUUCUUUAUUCACUUUUAGUCUUUCUUUUUUUCAAGAAAAAACAAAAGCUGAAGUUAGUGAAAUUUGUGAGGCAAAAAUGUGGGAUGCCUGGAGAACUGGUGGUGUGGUUUUGGCCUUAGCUGGGUUUAGUGAUUUUGUUGCACUGUGAUUUCCAGGCAUUGCUGUAUUUUGAACUCGCUGUAAUGAGCCGUAUGAAGGUUCUGUUCGACAACUUUUAAGGUUCUAAUUUCCUAGAACACGAACUUUGCAGAGAGAGAGGAGAAAUUUGCAGAGAGAGAGGAGAAAAUUUGAGAAGGUUUUCAUUACCAAGCUUCUCCAUGACAAGGACCACUGCCAUUGACAAGGACAAGGGCACCAAGCUCACAGUCACAGCUGAGGAAUUUUUCACACACUGGC
rnacentral:misc_RNA from 1 species